rnacentral:lncRNA from 1 species
GUUCCUCUGUCCUCAUGUCUCAUGGAUUGUCUUGGGAUUUGUUCCUUUACAGACCCCGUGCUUUCUCUGAGGAGAGUGAGUCAGGUUUUGGCCAGAACAGUUUGACAAGUAUCCUUCCCUGCUACUACCUGAUGGAAACAAAGUCAAAAGGUGGAGUUCAAGAUCUUAUCUGUGCUGCUGUCCAGCAUCUUUUGGCCCUAUAGGUGGCCUUGAAAGAGUACAUAAAUAAGACUGAGUUGGUGCGAAGAGCUGCCGUUUUUGUUCUUACCAAUCUUGUGCAUCAGAGGAAACCUGGAAGAACUGUGGAGAUGGAGAGAUUUCUGAGCACAUUCCCUAUACGUUAAAGAACAUAUUUUAGGCUUUUCUUUGGCAUACCCUGGACCCAGAGCAAGGAGGGAGUAGGAAACACCAUCCCAGAGCUGUGUCUGCACUAGGGGGCUGUGCUUGCAUGGCGAUAAGAGGAUUAGAAGUUUAGAGAAAGCUUUGUCCUCGUGUGGUAAGCCCUGAUAACAAACUUUGACUCAGUUAGCUGCUGCUUACAGCACAUUCCUCAUUGGAACAUAUCUGCAAUUGACCUUGACAUGGAAAACAUAAACCCGGUGGAAACAAACUGGUGAUGAUCUCCGUCUAACUGGAGAGCAGACUUCUGAUGUGAGCGCUGCAGCACCAUCCUUUCGGUAGCCCUGAGUCUCUGUAGGUGGAUGAACUGUUUCAGGACAUUCCUUCAUUCUGAGAAGUGGCUGUGGCCAACCAGCUGGAGGCUGCUGAGCUGCCCUGCGGUGCAAGAGGUGUGCUGGCAGGCAGCCCUGUGUUAAUUUUGAUGGCAAAGCUGUCUGAUCUUUUCCAGCUCUGACUUUUGGGUUUCUGCAAAGUAAAAAACUGCCUUAUGCAAAGGUGAUUCCACGCCAGGAGAAGGGUUCUGUGCUCCUUAGAGGGAAUGAAGGGAGGUAACUGAUCAUUCUCUGUAGCUGAUCCCAUUCUGACAGUUCUCAUUACAUCAAAUUUGAGUGCUCACUCUACCAUAUGGGAAAAGAGGCGGGGGAGUCUGUCUAGGACCACUGCUGGGGUGGGUCUCCAGUGGUGCUUGUGUCUUGACCUCAGGCAAUGCUUCCAUUCUUCCUUUGUUAAAAGAGUGAUUUGUCAGAUGCCAGGGACUCCUCAAUAAGUCUCCUGGGCUGGAGGAGAAUGGUCAGCAGUAUCUCAUAGGUUUCAUCACAGAUCAAUUUUUAACGUUCAGAUUGGUUGUCCCUAGGACUUAAGUUGAGUUUGUCACAUCAGUAUCACAGCAGAAGCAAAAGAGCUGCUAUCUUGGCAGGUGCUGGAACACCUUCCGGGCUCCUGGAGCUGGGGACAGCACUCAGCUCUUCAUAGAGAAGUGUGAUGCAGAAAAUUAGUUGUUAAAGCAAAUACAGGGAGAAAGGAGCAAGACAAGUGAAAGCCGAGAAAGCUGGAGUGAUUCAUCACUCCUGACUGGCACGAGAGCUCCAGGACCAUCAGCUCAUCAGGAAAUCUCCUGUCUGCCCGGAGCACACAGUGAAUUCCCACCUUUGCACUCAAGGCACAGCAUUAAGUGCUUCCAAAAUUCCCGUGACGGCUCCAUCCUGCAACGUUCUGAACCUCCUCACUGUGCUUCAGCAAUGCGAUCAGGUCCAGAUACGAGCUCAGGACUGGACCUACUGCAACAAGCAGUGUGAACAAUGCUGGGCUCUUACUGCCAUGCUCAGGAAACAGGAGUGUCAUUUCUCCUUGUCUGCUGUGAGCGAGUCCUCAUCGGUUCAAGUGACAACACGUGCAGGUGCCUCUCUGCUUUUUCCACACCGGGUGAGUCCUUUCAGCAAGCAGGGAGGGAACAGCUGCUGGGUGAAAACAAGGCCAUCCUGCUGACCCAAGCUGAAAUGCGACAGGGAAAUGGGAUUUCUGACCUUGAGAGGUACAAAGUUGCCCAAAGGAGGGACCCGGCGAAGAUUAAAAAUAACUCCAACUCCGUAACGCUUCUGCAGCUGGGCCAAAGCAUUGCAAAACACACAGCCAGCUAUGAAAUAGGACCAAUUGACAACAGCCUUUUGGUGACCGAUGGGCUGAGGAGCUCGCCCUCCCCUUUGCGAGCAUGGACUGAAGAACAGCUGCUUUUGUCAGCCGUGCUCUUGCUUGUCCUCUCCCCUGUCCCUGCAGAUGUUUGAGGAUGGCUGCUGUGACGGUGCUCGUCGUGUGGGUCGGUGUUCCUUUCUCCUCAGCUCCCACUUCUGUUUGGCUGUUGUGAGAGCAAUUAGACAUUACUCAGAGAGGGCCAGACAGUGUGUGGGUCCAUGGUCGCUCGGUCUGUCUGUCUGUCUCCCCCCUCUCGCACACAUGCCAUGUGAUUUGAAGCAGUCAUGUACCAUGAAUAAUGUCCAGGGGCCAGGUCACAAGCUUCCCAUAGCAUGGAAUUCAUUUGCAUACAAUCCGAGCAAUUACAAGUAAUGAAUAGAUUAGGAAAACCAAACAAAACGAGAAACGAUUCAGGCUGCUGCUAAUUCCUCAG